CAAGAAGUUAGAUUGCUGCCCAAAUAAAUGCUUCACAAAGUUCAAGCAACAGACAUGUCUACUGUUCAGAUAAGACUGUGUGAAUCAGGCCUUCAUGGUUGAUGUUCUACAAAUAAACCACUACUGAAGAACACAAAUAAGAAGGAAGUGACUUGCUUGGGCCAAGAAACAUGAGAAAUGGACAUUAGACCAGGUGAAAUCUGUCAUUGGGUAAGAGUCCAAAUUUGAUAUUUUGAAUUCCAUCCGUUGUGUCUGUGUGAGACACAGAGUGGGAUGAACAGAUGAUCUCCAUAUGUGUGGUUCCCACCGUGAAGCAUGGAGGAGGUGUGACGGUAUGGAAGAGGUGGUGUGACGGUAUGGAAGAGGUGGUGUGACGGUAUGGAAGAGGUGGUGUGACGGUAUGGAAGAGGUGGUGUGACGGUAUGGAAGAGGUGGUGUGACGGUAUGGAGGAGGUGGUGUGACGGUAUGGAGGAGGUGGUGUGACGUUAUGGUGGAGGUGGUGUGACGGUAUGGUGGAGGUGGUGACGGUAUGGUGGAGGUGGUGUGACGGUAUGGAGGUGGUGUGACGGUAUGGAGGAGGUGGUGUGACGGUAUGUGGGUAUUUUGCUGGUAACACUGAUUUAUUUAGAACUCAAGGCACACUCAACCAGCAUGGCUACCACAGUAUUCUGCAAUGAUACGCCAUCCCCUCUGGUUUGCUCUUAAUGGGACUAUCAUUUCAGUUUUUGAACAGGACAAUGACACAAAACAACUCCAGGGUGUGCAAAGGCUAUUUGACCAAGGACAGUGAUGGAGUGCUGCAUCAGAUGACCUGGCCUCCACAAUCAUCUGACCUCAAACCAAUUGAGAUAGUUUUUAAUUAGUUGGACAGCAGAGUGAAGGAAAAGCUACCAACAUGUCUUCAGCAUAUUUGGAAACUCCUUCAAAACUGCUGGAAACUAAUCCAGGAGACUACCUGGUCGAGAGAAUGCCAAAAGUGGGCAAAACUGUCCAAAGUGUGUCAAAAGUGUG
ensembl:lncRNA